rnacentral:rRNA from 1 species
AUUGAACGCUGGCGGUAUGCUUAACACAUGCAAGUCGAACGAUGAGAAAGAGCUUGCUCUUUCGAUUAGUGGCGGACGGGUGCGUAACGCGUAGGAAUCUACCUAUUAGUGGGGGACAACUUAGGGAAACUUAAGCUAAUACCGCAUACGCCCUACGGGGGAAAGAAGGGGAUCGCAAGACCUUUUGCUAAUAGAUGAGCCUGCGUAGGAUUAGCUAGUUGGUGGGGUAAAAGCUCACCAAGGCGACGAUCCUUAACUGGUUUGUGAGAAUAAUCAGACACACGGGAACUGAGACACGGUCCAGACUCCUACGGGAGGCAGCAGUGGGGAAUAUUGGACAAUGGGCGAAAGCCUGAUCCAGCAAUACCGCGUGUGUGAAGAAGGCCUUAGGGUUGUAAAGCACUUUCAAUUGGAAGGAAAACCUCGAAGCUAAUACCUUCGAGUUUGACAUUACCUUUAGAAGAAGCACCGGCUAACUCCGUGCCAGCCGCCGCGGUAAUAC